rnacentral:rRNA from 1 species
UACGUAGGGGGCAAGCGUUGUCCGGAUUUAUUGGGCGUAAAGAGCGUGUAGGCGGCCAGACAGGUCCGUUGUGAAAACUCGAGGCUCAACCUCGAGACGUCGAUGGAAACCGUCUGGCUAGAGUCCGGAAGAGGAGAGUGGAAUUCCUGGUGUAGCGGUGAAAUUCGUAGAUAUUCGGAAGAACACCAGUGGCGAAGGCGGCUCACUGGACCGGCAUUGACGCUGAUGUGCGAAAGCGUGGGGAGCAAACAGG